rnacentral:lncRNA from 1 species
UAAAUGGGGGGGGGGGGGAUUUGUAAACAAUUUUUUAAGGGAUUUCUUUUUUUUUCAAAAUUUUUCAAAUUUCAAAUUUUGAAAAUUUUCAAGAAGAAAUCUUCAAUUGCACAGUAUUGUGCAAUAGAUUUGUUGAUCUUUGACCACAUUUAUUUUGUAACAAAAACCUUUAUUUUGUCAAAAAUGCAAUCACAAUCCAAAUUCAGACAGCAUCAAGCUUGAACAUUGUGACCAACUUUAAUUUGCCCCAACUGUUCAGGGUCCAACCACUGCGGUUGUAUAAAGCUGCGCCCUGCGGAGCACCUGAUUUUCACAUACUUUCAAUUGAUGACAGUCUUUUAAAAAGCUUGUUAUAUGAAACAGAGUUGUGAACAUACUUGUACUUCAAAAAAUCUUCCUCUUUGAAACUUUUGAUUGGAAUGCAACCAAUUAUA